GCACUAAAGAUGGUCCAGGUUGUGGAUUACAUGAGAUGUAAUGCAUGUUACUGAACUCCACUACCAUGAAUUCAGAAUGAAGCUGCACUUUCCAAGUUAGUGAAAGAAAAUAUGAACAUGUGGAAAGAGGAUCUGGAAGAGCACUUGGAAGUGGGUGAGCACUGGCCCAUUGAAAGGGGGUCUUUACCCAACAGCAAAUGUCUGGAGCAACCCCUAUCAGAAACUACAGGAAAAGGGAUGGUUACUAACUUUAUUGGACUUGCCUAAUCCAGAAAUACCUUGAUGAUGAAUUUUUUGUUUCCACUUGCCAAUUU